rnacentral:ncRNA from 1 species
AAUUAGGGGAGGAAAAGAAACUAACAAGGAUUUUCUUAGUAGCGGCGAGCGAAAAGAAAUCAGUUCAGCACUAAGUCACUUUGUCUAUAUGGCAAAUGUGAGAUGCAGUGUACGGAACAUCAACAUUCUAGUAUGAGAAGUUAACGAUUUAAGUCCUUCUUAAAUGAGGCCAUUUACCCAUAGAGGGUGCCAGGCCCGUAUAACGUUAAUGAUUACUAGAUGGUGUUUCCAAAGAGUCGUGUUGCUUGAUAGUGCAGCACUAAGUGGGUGGUAAACUCCAUCUAAAACUAAAUAUAACCAUGAGACCGAUAGUAAACAAGUACCGUGAGGGAAAGUUGAAAAGAACUCUGAAUAGAGAGUUAAAUAGUACGUGAAACUGCUUAGAGGUUAAGCCCGAUGAACCUGAAUAUCCGUUAUGGAAAAUUCAUCAUUAGAAUUGUAAUAUUUUAAACAAUAUUAUAAUAAUAGUGUGCAUUUUUUCCAUAUAAGGACAUUGUAAUCUAUUAGCAUAAAUAUUUAUCAUAAAAUUAUGUCUGAUUGCUUAUUUGAAUUAUAUGCUUGGCAUUUUAACAUAAAAUAAAAGAUAUAAAUUUGAUAAAGUGCUGAUAGAUUUAUAUGAUUACAGUGCGUUAAUUUUUCGGAAUUAUAUAAUGGCAUAAUUAUCAUUGAUAUUUGUGUUUAUUAUAUGCAUUUGUAUGAUUAACAAUGCGAAAGAUUCAGGAUACCUUCGGGA